CAGAGAAAUAUCACUUCCCAGAUAUACAACGUGGUGGUACAAUUCUUAUCGUUUACACACAGGUGUCCACGGCAGGUGCGAUCGACCGGGGGACACUUACGUUACUUUGCGCUAUGCCAGCCGGGGAGGGAGAAGGGGAAAGGCCCACCAUUGAUGCUCACUGGGAGAGAUAGUCUUAAAAGCGUAUCACAAGCGGGUGUGAAUAUAUAUAUAUAUGCACAGGGCUCGUAAAAAUCGGCACUGUAAGCGCGAUUGCUUAAGAAUUGCUUGGAUCGAAUUAAGUGGAAAUAAAUAUUUGCACAAAACAGGAACGAUUGGAUUUCAUGAGGUGUAAAAUAUUUUUAACUUGGAUACUUUUUAGAUUUUCUUUCUUUAAAAAUUUUACAAAUAUCAAAAUUUCAGAUUGUAUUAAUUAGAUUGGAGUUAACCUGUUUUGUGCUGAUUCGUGUAAUAUAUCGGAACGAUAUAAUAAUCGUACAUAAUAGAGAAUCCAUUACAUUAGCACGUUUACUUACUUACACAUGUAAUAAUCGAUAAACUUUCGUGUUAACAUUUAUAUGUAUAUAUGUAUAAGUAUCUAUGUACUCGGCACAAUUUACAAUACUUUACAAAACCUGUCAAUUAAGCCGUUUGUACAUAUGGCAAGUGACACAUAGCCUCAUCUCGUGGUGAUUUCAAUCUCUUCGUAUUGGAUAAUGAAACCGCUGGAUCAAACAUCGAAACGACAUAUAUAGAGGCGUGUAUAUAUACAUGUACAAACUAUGUACAAAAAUCGAGACGUGAAACGUCACGCUUGUAAACGCGAAAUUAGGAUUUUAAUCGUACUCUCUGCCACAAGGGAACAUCGAUAAAUAAAAAAAUUCCAAUCUUCCAUUCUUUUUGAAGGCCGUUCUAGUUCGUAAUGGAAUUCGGUAAAUAUUGGACAAUCACUGGUUUUAAUCUACACUGGAUUCUUUUCUUUUCAAAAAGGAUAUGAAACAAUAUCAAGCAGGAAUAUACUAAAACUAUAGGAAAUAGAUUUCAAAAGUAUGGGGGAAACUAGAACUAAAGGGACAGAUUUUUAAAAAAAAA